AACGAACGCUGGCGGCAUGCCUAACACAUGCAAGUCGAACGAGAUCUUCGGGUCUAGUGGCGCACGGGUGCGUAACGCGUGGGAAUCUGCCCUUUGGUUCGGAAUAACAGUUGGAAACGACUGCUAAUACCGGAUGAUGACGCAAGUCCAAAGAUUUAUCGCCAGAGGAUGAGCCCGCGUAGGAUUAGCUAGUUGGUGUGGUAAAGGCGCACCAAGGCGACGAUCCUUAGCUGGUCUGAGAGGAUGAUCAGCCACACUGGGACUGAGACACGGCCCAGACUCCUACGGGAGGCAGCAGUGGGGAAUAUUGGACAAUGGGCGCAAGCCCGAUCCAGCAAUGCCGCGUGAGUGAUGAAGGCCUUAGGGUUGUAAAGCUCUUUUACCCGGGAUGAUAAUGACAGUACCGGGAGAAUAAGCUCCGGCUAACUCCGUGCCAGCCGCCGCAGUGA
rnacentral:rRNA from 1 species